rnacentral:snRNA from 1 species
GCGUUGUUCUUAAUUCAUCUUCUGACACUGGAAUGAUUUUUUUGGUACAAAGAGGAUUAGCAUGGCUCAUGCGCAAGGAUGACACGCAAAUUUGUGAAGCAUUCCAUAUUUUA